GGAGGACUGAUGUAAUUGUCUUUUCUUUUAACUAUUUCUGAGGAAUGGAUCCUGGUCUGCUCUCCUGUGGAAAGGAGAGCAUACCUUCAUAAAGGUAUAAUGCAGCUAAAUACCUGGAUACUAAUUAAGGAUUGAUAUAUAAACUCAAGAGAGAAAAUGUACCUAGAUGAGUUUGCCCCUGACACCUAAAUAAGAAGUUUGACAACAAAAGCUGUGGACAGCUAAGUACAUCUGGAAGGUGUGGAAGAGGAGGAGGAGGAGACAGUCUGUCACAAGCGGGAUUCUGCAAAAGAAGAGACUGUAAGGAAAAGUGAGCAGUGAUGAUGUGAGCAUCCUUGAGCUGCAGAAGAUACGAAAAAAGAGUCCUCUGACAGGAAACCACUUGCUGGCAGAUACAGAGAGGAGGAGAUCUGCUGGAGAGCUCUUCCACGGACUUUAGAAUAAUGCUGACCUCUGGAUGACAAUUAGACAUCCAACAUGCGUUGCUGCUGAUUUGCUGUUUCUUCUGCAUAACCUGAAAAUGUAGUGGUAUUUACUGAAAUAAAAGUAAAUAUUUUCUCUGUC